rnacentral:rRNA from 1 species
UACGUAGGUGGCAAGCGUUGUCCGGAUUUACUGGGCGUAAAGAGCGCGCAGGCGGUCGUUCAAGUCGAGUGUGAAAGCCCCCGGCUCAACUGGGGAGGGUCACUCGAUACUGAUCGACUCGAAGGCAGAAGAGGGAAGCGGAAUUCCCGGUGUAGUGGUGAAAUGCGUAGAUAACGGGAGGAACACCAGUGGCGAAGGCGGCUUUCUGGUCUGCUCUUGACGCUGAGGCGCGAAAGCUAGGGUAGCAAACGGG